rnacentral:rRNA from 1 species
GACAGAGGGGGCAAGCGUUGUCCGGAGUUAUUGGGCGUAAAGAGCUCGUAGGCGGUUUCGUAAGUCGGAUGUGAAAACUCCAGGCUCAACUUGGAGACGCCAUUCGAUACUGCGAUGACUUGAGUCCGGUAGGGGAGUGUGGAAUUCCUGGUGUAGCGGUGAAAUGCGCAGAUAUCAGGAGGAACACCGGCGGCGAAGGCGGCACUCUGGGCCGGUACUGACGCUGAGGAGCGAAAGCGUGGGUAGCAAACAGG